rfam:Oesophagostomum dentatum strain OD-Hann O_dentatum-1.0_Cont204.4, whole genome shotgun sequence.
UUAGCUUUGAUAUGUCUGGUAUUCUUGGGUUAUGUGUGAACCAGAACUAUUAGACAUAUCGAAGAUCGG